GUUUUGUGAAGGAAACAAGUACAAGAAUUGUCCUCAAGCAUAGAAGUAAAAGAUAUGUUCUCAUCAACAAAUUCCAUGUGGAGAUGCAAAUUACAUGAUUAAGGAAGGUGCUAAUAGUACAUGCUUACAUGCAUGAAAGGGACAAUACAAAUCUUGGAAUUUCCUAAAGUAAUAUAGAAAACAAGAGCUUCAAGCAGAAGUCUUCUUUCUCUCUUCCCCUCAUCCCUCCCUCUCGAUUCUUGCUCCACAAAACACCAAGGAGGGACAACUUGCACCUACAAGUGAAACAUCAAAAUAGGUAUGAGAAUUUUGGAUUCACAAGACUCAAAAGUGGAGGACUUAUUCAAAAUAGCAAGUAUGCAACCUUUGUGACACAUCACCAAACUUGCAAAAAGAAUAAGAACAAGAAUGAGCAAAGGAUAAGCUCAUCACGAAGGGCCUUUUAAAGGCAACAAUAGAUUUCCACACCCUCCAAACCGAGACUAGGAGGCAGCCAAGAGGGGGCAGCCCCAAGGCUUGCAUCAAAUAGGUAAGAUUCCCUUAAUCAAUAAGCUCAAAAGGGGAUGAGCUUGAAGCUAAAAAUGAGAGCUUCAAUGCCCCAAAUCCUGCCACAAGAGGCCAAGGGAUGGCCUAUAAAUACCACCGUCACCCCCCUCCCAUCCACGCUUUCUCUCUGCCCCAAGGCUCUCGGAUAACAGAGGCGACGGAGGGAGGAACGGGCGGCGCAAGGAAGUGGCAACACAGAGACGAUCACAAGCCACAGAGGGUGCACCGAGUGAGGUUGAUCGUCAAGAUGGAGAAGAAUUGAUCGGAGUCGAUGCUAUUAAAUAAGCAUGUGGAUUGGGGUGCACAAGAGUCGUGAGCCAUCUAGAGGUUGGCCGGCGAGGGUACUGUUGAAGGUUGAUCGUCAAGAUGGAGAAGAAUUGAUCGGAGUCGAUGCUAUUAAAUAAGCAUGUGGAUUGGGGUGCACAAGAGUCGUGAGCCAUCUAGAGGUUGGCCGGCGAGGGUACUGUUGAAGGUGGCCAUUGAAGCACGCUUGUCGUUAGUGUGAGUGUGUGUAUAAUAAACUUCUAGAUCGAGCCGCCAAGUCCAAUGAAUCCACUAAAGACUAGGUCUAAGAACUCAAGGCGACGCGGAAGACUCUGUCGAUGGACACACAAACUCUCGCGUUUCAAAGAUCCCUCAACUCGUUAUACUAUAGACUAGUAUAGAGAAGCAAGGGGUCGAUCCCACGAAGAUGGACACGUAAGAAAGCAUCCAGAGAUUUUUGGUUAGAAAACGGCUGCUGCCACGCAAACUUGGGUUGAGAUCUAACUACUUCUAGACCUAAGCACGAAAUUAACCAUUAGACCUAGUAAACUGUAAACAGCAUGCAGACAUCGAGCAUCCUUAGAUCUACGUAAUUUUGAACUUACCUCCUAGACCAAGCAAACAAUUACCAACUUUAGCUAAAACAGAACACAAAUAGAAGUGUGGACCAACUUCCAGAAAUAUCAAGUAUGGAAGAAAGGCUACAACUAACAAACAAUGAACCUAACUAACAAUGACAUGCUUAACUUCUGUUGAAUCAAACACGAAGAUGAAGAAAACAGAGCACAUACCGGGAUUCGAACAAAAUGUAAAAAUUCAGACGUCGGAAACUUGCAAACAAUCGGAAAUAAAACAGAUCUACGUUUACUAGGCGAAAUGAAAUGAAAACACGAAAGCUAGGCAUAAAUCUCAAUCAGUCUUCAGAUCCAACGUCGGAAACUCAAUCCACUCCGGAUCUAAGCAAACCGAACCCAACAGCAGCCAAAAUCAACUCCAUAGUUCCCGAUUCACCCAGAUCUACUUCGAUCAACACCAGAUUCCAAUGAUUCUACCCAAACUCAGCAACCAACACAAAACUCAAACAUCCAACUCAGUAAUCAUAACAAACUCAAAAUAAUGAACAUCCAUAACCAAAACUCAACAGCAGCUCAAAUAUGAAAAAUAGAAAUUGCAUAACUACGGAAAUUUAACUGAAAACAGAGCCGAGCUUCGAACGGCGAAGCUCGGGGAAAUCCUUAGCAAUAACUAAAAUAAAAACGGGAAAUUGUUUCUUCGCCCUCUGCAAGGACGGUAUUACACCACAAAUGUCGAGAAUUUAAAAGCAACAGUGACGGCAAACGCAACCCCCUUCGAAACUCCGAAAAUCCCCUAAGUAUGCAGAAGUGUGUGAGCUAAGAACCAGAGGCCUAAGUGCCAAAAGUCCCCGAGCAUUGCAUGCUCUCUUCCUUAUAUAAAUGCGGUAGGAUCUUCUAGAAACCUUUGCAGAAAUUUUCAUUCUGCCCUUCAGUUUCACGAUCCCUCCGUCUAGUCAUUUUCCUCCGAAUUUGCUCACUUAUUCGCCGUAUUUGCAUGGUCCUUGUAAUUCAUCUUCUUUGUUCCUCGACCUGGCGAAUUCUUCUGCACACCUGGCUUAAAACAUGUGUUAGACCCUAUAAUUGUAUUAAUUCAACCCCUACACCUAUGCAUGAAAUUAGCCUUAUCAGCCACCUUCACGGUACACUAGAUUAUCAGACAUGGCGGGAUACACCAAGAACUUAGACUGCAGUCGGACUUUUAAGAUCACAAAAGAAUUUAGUAUGCUCGGACCUUUUUAAGAAAAACCCCCCGUGUGAUACUGUUGAUGGAUGACAA